rnacentral:rRNA from 1 species
CCUACGGGAGGCAGCAGUCGAGAAUCAUUCACAAUGGGGGAAACCCUGAUGGUGCGACGCCGCGUGGGGGAAUGAAGGUCUUCGGAUUGUAAACCCCUGUCAUGUGGGAGCAAAUUAAAAAGAUAGUACCACAAGAGGAAGAGACGGCUAACUCUGUGCCAGCAGCCGCGGUAAUACAGAGGUCUCAAGCGUUGUUCGGAAUCACUGGGCGUAAAGCGUGCGUAGGCUGUUUCGUAAGUCGUGUGUGAAAGUCGCGGGCUCAACCCGCGGACGGCACAUGAUACUGCGAGACUAGAGUAAGGAAGGGGGAGGCGGAAUGCGCGGUGUAGCAGUGAAAUGCGUAGAUAUCGAGAGGAACACUCGUGGCGAAGGCGGGUUCCUGGACAUUAACUGACGCUGAGGCACGAAAGCCAGGGGAGCGAAAAGGAUUAGAUACCCCAGUAGUC